CUCAAAGUCCGGCGAAGUCCAUCUCUCUCAAUUCGUCCGGCGAUUACACACCAACUUCUUUCAAGAUUUUACUUCGCUCUUUGUGUUUAAUCUAUGAUUCUUGUCUAGAAGUUCAUAGAUCCGUAACUAUAGUGCUGAUUUUUGAAAGAAUCAUGCCAAUCUUCUCGGAUCUUAGCAGGUUACGAACUCUAACUGUGGAAGUUGAUCUGAGGCGAGGCAGUCCAUGAAGACAGCAGCGUCCACCAAGAUCUACGGCUUUAGAGCUCAAAGAUGGUGACAAGAGUGUUUUUGGAGGCAGAAGAGAUUUCAGAUCCGAUAAGCUGUGAAGGAAAACCAGAGACUCGCCAUUAAGCUCCAAAGUCAGAUCUGGUAGAAAAGAGUUCAGAUCCGGUGGAAGAUAGUGUCGCCGACUUCUCUUCCAUUUCUGAUGCAUAGAAGAAAUUUUCAGAUCCGUUUGAUAUAUUUUUUUUGGGGGAAAAAAGGGAGGGGGUAUUAGCCCCAGAACAAAGCUAUAACCCAGUUCUCACAACAGGGAUGCAAAACUCAACAGACUCUCUGUCAGACUCAAGGAAAUCCAGAAUGAAUUCAAGGGGUAUUAGUUUGAUAUAUUUUAGUUGUUGAAAGAAUGAUUUUAGUUCUUUGAAAUAUACUUAUUUGGUUUUAAUAUUCUUAGACACAGAUGGUAGCCAUAUUUUGUUUUUUGUUUUUUGGCCUUUUCUCCUGUAAAUCUGUAAUGUAAUAUGAAUGAAUGCAUUGAAAUAUUUCUUCUUUGAUAUUGAAAUAUACUUUUGUAUUGUA